ensembl:misc_RNA Metazoa_SRP Metazoan signal recognition particle RNA
GCCGGGUGUGGUGGCUCACACCUGUAAUCCCAGCAUUUUGGGAGGCAGAGGUGGGUGGAUCGUCUGAGGUCAGGAGUUCAAGACUAGCCUGGCCAACAUGGUGAAACCCCACCUCUA